CAUGGGCCAACCUACGCUCACCUGUUCCUUUGUGAUAUUACCCCCUUGCCCUGUUUGGGAUAGAAUGUUCCAUGGAAACGCCCUUUGUGUGUCCCCUUCUCUUGCUCUGCCCUUGGGUGUGGCCUUCCUAGAUGUCAGUCAGCCUGCUGACAGUGGACAUCAGGAAGCUAGACUCAGCCCCCUGAAACCUGACCCCUUGCCUAGGUUGA
rnacentral:lncRNA from 1 species